rnacentral:rRNA from 1 species
UACGUAGGGUGCGAGCGUUAAUCGGAAUUACUGGGCGUAAAGCGUGCGCAGGCGGUUUUUUAAGACAGGCGUGAAAUCCCCGGGCUUAACCUGGGAACUGCGCUUGUGACUGGAAGGCUAGAGUACGGCAGAGGGGGGUGGAAUUCCACGUGUAGUAGUGAAAUGCGUAGAGAUGUGGAGGAACACCGAUGGCGAAGGCAGCCCCCUGGGCCGAUACUGACGCUCAUGCACGAAAGCGUGGGGAGCAAACAGG